UUAGUGAAAACCUAUAACUACUACUCCCUCUGAUCCAAAAUAAGUGUCUCAGUUUUGAACUAAGCCUAGUUCAAGUCUAGUUCAAAACUGCGACACUUAUUUUGGAUCAGAGGUAGUAGAUAACUGCAUAUGUGCUUGCU